rnacentral:rRNA from 1 species
UACGUAGGGGGCAAGCGUUGUCCGGAUUUAUUGGGCGUAAAGAGCGUGUAGGCGGCUGGGUAGGUCCGCUGUGAAAACUCGAGGCUUAACCUCGAGACGUCGGUGGAAACCAUCCAGCUAGAGUCCGGAAGAGGAGAGUGGAAGUUCCUGGUGUAGCGGUGAAAUGCGCAGAUAUCAGGAAGAACACCCGUGGCUAAGGCGGCUCUCUAGUACGGUACUGACGCUGAGACGCGAAAGCGUGGGGAGCGAACAGG